CCUACGGGAGGCAGCAGUAGGGAAUCUUCGUCAAUGGGCGCAAGCCUGAACGCGCAAUGCCGCGUGAACGAGGAAGGUCUUCGGAUCGUAAAGUUCUGUUGAAGGGGAAAAAGAGCGGAGAGAGGAAAUGAACUCCGAUUGAUAUUACCCUUCGAGGAAGUCACGGCUAACUACGUGCCAGCAGCCGCGGUAAUACGUAGGUGGCGCGCUUUAUCCGGAAUGAUGGGGCGUAAGGGGUGCGUAGGCGGCCUGCUAAGUCUGGAGUGAAAGGUACCGGCUCAACCGGUAUAGGCUCUGGAAACUGGCGGGCUAGAGAGCAGGAGAGGGCGGUGGAACUCCAUGUGUAGCGGUAAAAUGCGUAGAUAUAUGGAAGAACACCAGUGGCGAAGGCGGCCGCCUGGCCUGUUACUGACGCUGAGGCACGAAAGCGUGGGGAGCAAAUAGGAUUAGAUACCCUGGUAGUC
rnacentral:rRNA from 1 species